rnacentral:rRNA from 1 species
UACGUAGGGGGCAAGCGUUGUCCGGAAUCAUUGGGCGUAAAGCGCGUGUAGGCGGCUCGGUAAGUCCGCUGUGAAAGUCCAGGGCUCAAACCUGGAAAGCCGGUGGAAACUGUCGAGCUCGAGUCCGGAAGAGGCGAGUGGAAUUCCUGGUGUAGCGGUGAAAUGCGCAGAUAUCAGGAGGAACACCAAUGGCGAAGGCAGCUCGCUGGGACGGUACUGACGCUGAGACGCGAAAGCGUGGGGAGCAAACAGG